UCAGAACGAACGCUGGCGGCAGGCCUAACACAUGCAAGUCGAGCGAGGACUUCGGUCCUAGCGGCGGACGGGUGAGUAACGCGUGGGAACGUGCCCUUCACUACGGAAUAGUCCCGGGAAACUGGGUUUAAUACCGUAUACGCCCUUCGGGGGAAAGAAUUUCGGUGAAGGAUCGGCCCGCGUCUGAUUAGGUAGUUGGUGGGGUAACGGCCUACCAAGCCUACGAUCAGUAGCUGGUUUGAGAGGAUGAUCAGCCACACUGGGACUGAGACACGGCCCAGACUCCUACGGGAGGCAGCAGUGGGGAAUCUUAGACAAUGGGGGCAACCCUGAUCUAGCCAUGCCGCGUGAGUGACGAAGGCCCUAGGGUCGUAAAGCUCUUUCACCAGGGAAGAUAAUGACGGUACCUGGAGAAGAAACCCCGGCUAACUCCGUGCCAGCAGCCGCGGUAAUACGGAGGGGGUUAGCGUUGUUCGGAAUUACUGGGCGUAAAGCGCGCGUAGGCGGACUGUUAAGUCAGGGGUGAAAUCCCGGGGCUCAACCCCGGAACUGCCCUUGAUACUGGCAGUCUCGAGUUCGAGAGAGGUGAGUGGAACUCCGAGUGUAGAGGUGAAAUUCGUAGAUAUUCGGAAGAACACCAGUGGCGAAGGCGGCUCACUGGCUCGAUACUGACGCUGAGGUGCGAAAGUGUGGGGAGCAAACAGGAUUAGAUACCCUGGUAGUCCACACCGUAAACGAUGAAUGCCAGACGUCGGGCAGC
rnacentral:rRNA from 1 species